CAAUCUGCGCCGCCACCAAAGCCUAUCCCCCGCGGCAGUUCUCGGCCCGGCUCUGCCCUCCGGCGCCAACUCCACCCUCGGCCGGCGACUUCCCAUUCUCCUAUGUCGGCAUCCUCGCCGGUCGGAGCCCCGCCUGCCGUCGGCGUACUCCCCGUGUCCCGUUGACACACAUCGCCCCUCCCAACUCUCAUCACCACACCGUCCCGCAAGAUGGGAUCCGCCAUGUCAAGAAGGUGCUCCCUCGAAUCCCAUCUCUUCUACAGUUUUUGAAUUAAAUCAAUCAACGCAGCUUCUUAGUUGACACAUCCCACGCCUCUAUCUCGAUUGGUUGGUUCUCAACUGAAUUUCAAAAUUUGGACCGACCACUAUCAAUCAAAGAACUUAUCCUGAUGCAUCAGAUCUCAUGAAGCAAAUCUCGAUGGUGGUGUGGCCUGCAGCUUGACAAAUUUUUGUAUUUUGCAUCUCACUCUGCAACUUACUAAUUUCGUUUGUUCCUUUUUAGGGGGAGAAGGAGCGAAUACAUUAAUCAGGUGCAGGUUGGAAUGACUGGCCAUUAGGUAGACUACAUUUACUCUCUGUGGGAGAGUUCCAGUUUAAUUUGCAAUUCCAACAUGGUUCGUACGUUCAUUGUUUGAUGAUGUAUAGUUUUAGCUUCCAGAAACUAGCAUCACUUUUGCCUAGUACUUACGAAGCAAAAUGACAUAUCUAUGUGGGUUUUUACUUUAUUGGUUCUGGCUUCACAUGACUUCGUGAGACUGACAAGGCAUAUUUUUUGGUCCAGCACUAAUGGCUAGUGCGAUUAUUUUCAUGGAUUUUUACUUACUUUAGCUCGGUAGAUGCUCAGUAUUUCUCUUACUUGUACCAUUUUGGGAAGUGUUCAUGCAUCUUAAUUAGGCAUGAGUAAGAUCAGAACAAGCGAAGUUAUGUACAUUUUGAAAAAGAUCCAAACUAGAUAUAGUUUUCUGCUCAGUUUGAUCCAGUACACCUGGUCAGGCAAAUUGUGGUUCGCCAACCUAUCUGAUAUAGCCUUGAAACAUUCUGAUUUUACACAAGUCAGCUAGGGCAUAGGGAAAUGCAUGUUAGUAUCUGACAAUGGAGGAUGCGACUCACUGUUGAAUCAACAAAUUGACCAGAUCGACGCUCUGUUACACACAGCUGCCCUAUACCUAGAAACAAAAAAAAGUUGUAUCUCUCUCCCCAGAUACGGCGCAUCCAUGGCUCCUGACGGGGAUAACUUCCGACAUCGAUACUUCCCGAACAUCUGGGUGAUGCCACUCGCUACCAACCAAAUUCCCCCCCUGCCCCCAUCGGAAGAUGCAGCUGAUAUCACUACCUUGCAGCCAGUGGCGAUUCUACUAGGGGGGCUUCAAUAGGCUGAAGCCUACCCUCCAAAGAUCCUAUUUCAACUAAAUAUACUACUUGCCAAUUAUACCGACGUGUUUUAUACAUCCAAUAAUUGCAAUACAUUGCUAGUUAGACCUAGGAACUUGCUUUGAGCCUACCCUUCAUUUCCGUGCUAGAUUCGCCACUGCUUGCAGCCAUAGAUUGAUUCCUUCCUUCGCUGGCAGGCUAGAUGUUCAAGGAGGUAGCGUAGGUGCAGCCGUGUGUCCAUCCUCUCCAGUGGAAGGCACCUGGUACAAUGGUACCCCAUGAUCCUCCUUCCAAUUGAUUUUUUAUUGUCAAUUUGUGUUUGGCCCCAAACAUUUUUUUUCCUUCUUUAAUAAGUACAACUCCUAUGAGUGAUUGAUCAGAGCUCUAAUUUCGGGUGUUGAUUGAGUUCACCUUGUUAUGUAUAGAAUGAAUGAUGGGAUUCAUGUUUUUGUACAUAUCACGGAGGAUCUAGUAUGAUAAUAUUAAUACUUCUACAUAGUAUUACCUCACCUUUCAUACCAUUGUCCACUUGUGUUGUGCUACUAUCCAAUGGGGACACGUUUAUUUUGUUGCCAUGUCACGUAAGAGUAUAAUAUACUUCUGAUAUCUCCGAGAGUGUAUAUAAAGACUAUAGAUUUUGUAGUAUGUUAAGGUGAUCAAAGUUUCUCUGUAUUACCUUUAUACAUGACAACAGAUUAUAAUGCUGUCAAAUUUAUGUGACUAUAACCAAACAACAUUGUAAUUUCUUUCUGACAGCAGUUUAGCUAGUCAUUUUAUACAGAUUGUAAUAAUAUCAAACUGAUGUGGGCUUUAACCAAACCACAUACAGUAUUUUUUUUUCUGUCCGCACAUUAACUGGUCAUUUUUAUACAGAUUAUAAUAUUGUCAAAUCGACAUGAGCUAUAACCAAACAUCUCUGUGAUUUUUUUCUGUCAGAAAACAGCUAGUAAGUUUUUUAUUGCAUUGACACUAUCGUAAGAGACAAUGUUUUCUUACUGUUUGCAGAUAUUUAAGGAUAUAACAUUAUGGAAAUUUUCAGCAGAUGAUCUUUUGCAAGUGAAAAGAAUACAUCUUUAUAAGGAGCAAUCAAUGUGGGGCCAUUACAAGGUGUGUGAUUUAUCCAUGUUCCAACCUUUUCUGCUGACAAAGAUGGUUCAGAAUAAUGUAGUCGUCAUCUGUUUGACAGAUAAGCUGCAUUAUCUCUAGAUCAGCUGGCUCAAACUUCUUUGUUGUGUCAUCUCCACUAGUGUAGAGUUUCUAUUGGAUGGAAGAUUACUAGUGUCGACAAGCAUAACCAGUCAAUCCUAAGAAGUCUUAGUUCUAUAGAGAAGAAACACACAAAUGAUAACUAUUCUUUGUGAAAUCAAUGUAUAUUUCUUAUUUAAAGUUAUCUAGCUCUGCUUCUCUAUAUUUCCCUUCACCUUUUCUGAUGCUAAUGUGCUCUUGUUGCAGGAUUUAGAGGACAAAACUAAUUAUAUGGACAGAUUAUAACAGGUUUUAUAUUGGAAAUAAUCUUGAAAAAUGUGCAAGCGAAAUCUUCACAUUUAUCCAGAAGCCAUAUCCAUAAAAGCUGCGAAAGCCGUCAAGUUGAUGUACCAAACUAGCUAUAGAAUUUUUAGAUAGAUUUCCACUGAGAAUUUCCAUUUUUUUCUCAAAUUGGUUUCAACUUUCAGAUAGUUAGAAUUAGAAUUAGAAGUUUAUUUUCUAGUGACAUACACAUUAUUGUAUGAACGUACAGUUCACUUGUAAACUAUCAAUACCCUUUGUAAUAAAAAUAGUUGUAAUGGCUUGCACAUUGCUACUUGUUUUGCGGUUGUGAUUAUGAGAAACUUUUUCAGUUAAUUAUGAGAAUAAGAUGAUUGCAAUGCAACAAUGAUGUUGAAUAAUGCCUAC
rnacentral:lncRNA from 1 species